rnacentral:lncRNA from 10 species
UAGGAAAAACAGUGUAAAUACCUGGGUGACUAAUGACUUUGCACAGCUCAGCUGGCUUUUCUGAACAUUUCAUGGGACGUCUCUCCAGGGGAAACAACCUGAAAAUGUUUCAGGACUCCGGGUGGCAUUGAAGGGCCAGAGAGGGGUGUUUAGUGCACGCUGUUGGCUGGCUGGUUUUGUGGGUUUUGUUCACCGUCUACCGGGCAGAGAGCCUUUCUGCCGAUGUCGCCAGAUGCCUCUCUCCAAGCGAAAUGACCCAUUUGCAUGCGUGGUGCAGACAUUUUCCGGAGCUCCAGGGCUCCCAGGCCUCCCCAGGCCUCCGAUUGUAAAGGAUCGUAGGGCCACCCCUUUCCUUGUUCACAUGGACAGCGCCUAAGAGGAUUUAGAAUCAAGUGGGCACAUUUGCACUGCCUUGUUCUGAAGAGGCAGCUGGAGCGCGGACUGGCCUGGCGCAACCCACCGCGGGUCCCGGGGGACCGCAUUGUCUCGGAGGGGCCGCCACAGGGGCUCCAUUGUGAGCGGGGCCGGCCUUUUUCUCCUGCCCUCUGUCUCCCCGGGCCUCCCCUCAUCCCCCCCACCCCCCCUCCACGCAGACUUUUCUCUCAAGCUGCCGGCACCCCCGGCUGCCGCAUUUCCAAUGCAGGGGAGCGGCGAGGCUCCGGGCUGGCCAUCUGCACGCGGAGAUUGACAGCAGUCCCGGAAGAAAAGGAGACAUUGCAGAGAAUCAACCUGUGCCUGCAGCUAGGGAUUCGUUAAUUACUUUGUUCCCUCUUUUCCUCCCUCCCUCCCUUCCUCCUUUCCUUUCGCUAACAUUUUGAUGGAUACCUCAUGUGUGCUGGAGAUCAGGCGGUGGACCAGGGAUACAAGAAACGAGACUCCUAGCCCUUGAGAUGCUCUUCAUGUGGGGUCAUUACUUAGGGAUCAGCAAUUUGCUAAAGAUGAACAGAUUCUAAGAAGAUGGUUUUCCAGCAGCAACCAAUUUUAAAUCUGGACUGUGCACCAGGCACCUCUUGGAUGGACAGCCCUGAAACAUCUUUCAUGCAACUCCUCAGGCAGCCCAGAAACAGCCAGGAACCAUUCGCCAGGAGCUGUGGCCAACUUAAUAACUCAUCCUUGUAUUGGUUUCCAUCCUCUGUCCUUCAUCCGUCUUGUCUUUUACUCCUACUUGCUGGAUCACACAUCCCAAUAAAUUUUUGCACUCAAGCGUUUGUCUCAGGAUCUGCUGUCCGGAGGACCAAGACUAAGUUCAAGUCAUAUUUUUUUUUUUUUGAGAUGGAAUCUCACUCUGUUGCCCAGGCUGGAGUGCAGCGGCAUGAUUUUGAUUCACUGCAACGUCCACCUCCCGGGUUCAAGUGAUUGUCCUGCCUCAGCCUCAUGAGUAGCUGGGAUUACAGGUGCACGCCACCACACCUGGCUAAUUUUUGUAUUUUUAGUAGAGACAGGGUUUCACCAUGU